UACGAAGGGGGCUAGCGUUGUUCGGAUUUACUGGGCGUAAAGCGCACGUAGGCGGGUCGUUAAGUCAGGGGGUGAAAUCCCGGAGCUCAACUCCGGAACUGCCUUUGAUACUGGCGACCUUUGAGGCUGGAAGAGGUUAGUGGAAUUCCCAGUGUAGAGGUGAAAAUUCGUAGAUAUUGGGGAAGAACACCAGUGGCGAAGGCGGCUAACUGGUCCAGAUCUGACGCUGAGGUGCGAAAGCUAGGGGGAGCAAACGGGG
rnacentral:rRNA from 1 species